GCCUAGUUAGCUUAGUUGGUAGUGCGUCUGCAUUGUAAGCGCUAGGCCGCGGGUUCGAUUCCCGCCCGGGGUG
rnacentral:tRNA from 1 species